AGAGUUUGACCUGGCUCAGAACGAACGCUGGCGGCAUGCCUAACACAUGCAAGUCGAACGGGAUCCUAGCUUGCUAGGUGAGAGUGGCGGACGGGUGAGUAACACGUGGGAAUCUGCCUUUGGUUCGGGAUAACCGCGGGAAACUGCGGCUAAUACCGAAUGCCCUCGAGAGAGGAAAGAUUUAUCGCCAGAAGAGGAGCCCGCGUCCGAUUAGGUAGUUGGUGGGGUAAAGGCCUACCAAGCCUAAGACGCCUAGCUGGUCUGAGAGGAUGAUCAGCCACACUGGAACUGAGACACGGUCCAGACUCCUACGGGAGGCAGCAGUGGGGAAUCUUGCGCAAUGGGCGAAAGCCUGACGCAGCGACGCCGCGUGAGUGAUGAAGGCCUUCGGGUUGUAAAGCUCUGUGGGGAGAGACGAAUAAGUGCGGGCUAAUACUCCGCAUGAUGACGGUAUCUCCUUAGCAAGCACCGGCUAACUCUGUG
rnacentral:rRNA from 1 species